rnacentral:rRNA from 1 species
AUACGUAGGGUGCGAGCGUUGUCCGGAAUUACUGGGCGUAAAGAGCUCGUAGGUGGUUUGUCGCGUCGUCUGUGAAAUUCCGGGGCUUAACUCCGGGCGUGCAGGCGAUACGGGCAUAACUUGAGUACUGUAGGGGAGACUGGAAUUCCUGGUGUAGCGGUGAAAUGCGCAGAUAUCAGGAGGAACACCGGUGGCGAAGGCGGGGCUCUGGGCAGUAACUGACGCUGAGGAGCGAAAGCAUGGGUAGCGAACAGGAUUAGAUACCCUGGUAGUCCAUGCCGUAAACGGUGGGCGCUAGGUGUAGGGGUCUUCCACGACUUCUGUGCCGUAGCUAACGCAUUAAGCGCCCCGCCUGGGGAGUACGGCCGCAAGGCUAAAACUCAAAUGAAUUGACGGGG